AGGGUUUGAUCCUGGCUCAGGAUGAACGCUGGCGGCGUGCUUAACACAUGCAAGUCGAACGGGGAACAUUUUAUUGAAGCUUCGGCAGAUCUAGUUUGUUCCUAGUGGCGGACGGGUGAGUAACGCGUGGGUAACCUGCCUCACACUGGGGGAUAACAGUCAGAAAUGGCUGCUAAUACCGCAUAAGCGCACAGUACCGCAUGGUACGGUGUGAAAAACUCCGGUGGUGUGAGAUGGACCCGCGUUGGAUUAGCUAGUUGGCAGGGCAGCGGCCUACCAAGGCGACGAUCCAUAGCCGGCCUGAGAGGGUGAACGGCCACAUUGGGACUGAGACACGGCCCAG
rnacentral:rRNA from 1 species